rnacentral:lncRNA from 1 species
UGGAAUACCUGAAUUGCAAAGGUUACAUUGAGGGCUCGACCAUGAGUAUAUAACAGAUUAAUGAUGUAACAUAAAACAUGAUGGAUCAUUAUAGUACAAAACAGUAUAAUGAUCCAUGGACCAUGAGUAUAUAGCAGAUUAAUGAUCCAUACACUCAACAACAAAGGUUACAUUGAGGGCUCGGACCAUGAGUAUAAUACAACACAGUAAAGUAAAACUGUUUGUGAAAAACAACGUUGUUGAAGCAAAGAUCUUAAAAAAAGUGCUGGGAACUCAAAUUAGCGUCUACUCAUCCACACACACAUGAUGGGAGUUUCUAUAACUGAACUUAUUGGAUAGUAGUGACCUUGAAUAUAUAUUGGCCUAAGAGUAGGCUGGAAACUCAAAUAGCAUGUCAUUCACACAAAUGAUGGAGUUUCUAUAACUGAACUUAUCGGAUAAUAGUGAUCUAGAAUAUACACAGGCGUAAGAGCAGGCUGAAAACUCAAAUAGCAUUUAGUCAUUCACACACACACAC